UACAGAGGGGGGCAAGCGUUGUUCGGAAUUACUGGGCGUAAAGGGCGCGUAGCGGCCCGCCUAAGUCAGACGUGAAAUCCCUCGGCUCAACCGGGGAACUGCGUCUGAUACUGGGUGGCUUGAAUCCGGGAGAGGGAUGCGGAAUUCCAGGUGUAGCGGUGAAUGCGUAGAUAUCUGGAGGAACACCGGUGGCGAAGGCGGCAUCCUGGACCGAUACUGACGCUGAGGAGC
rnacentral:rRNA from 1 species